rnacentral:lncRNA from 1 species
CCUUUGUGCACCCUUUUACCAUGCUUUGUACACCCUUUAUUCACCUUUAUACACACUUUCUACACCCAUUGUGCAGCCUUUGUACACCCUUAGUUCACUCUUUGAACACCCUAUGUACACCUUUUAUACACCUCUAUACACCCUAUAUACACCCAUUGAACACCCUUUGUACACUCUUUGUGCACUCUUUAUGCACCCUUUAUACACUCUUUGUACACUAUUUGGCAAAAGCCUCAUAACCGCCCGGCGAUGCUAGGUGCCGCCCAGCGGUUUCCCUCAAAACCGCCCAGCGCCAAUCACCAUGCCUACUCCCGCCCUAGGCCGCCCGGCGGUUUAAGUGUGCCGCCGGGCGGUGCGUCGACUCUUCAAAACUUCAUUUUUCUGCUCUUUUCUUAACUCUACGACCAGUAUCUUUAACUCCAUUUUUCAUUUUCUCAAAAUAGCUACAAAACAAUGCAAAACAAGCAUAAUAUCGCUAAAAACAACUUUUGACUCUCUACAGACUCAUUUAUUGACUUUUGCUUGAUUCUAGGCUCAUUCCAAGUAGUAAAUGGCGUAAUUCGGUCCAAAUUGACAUAUGAAAAUAACUAUUUUUCAACCUUCAUCAACACCCCAAACUUNGAAUUUUGCUUGUCCUCAAGCAAAACAAAACAAAACAACACACAAAAUAAAACUUGGCUUUAUCCUCUUUCAUCNAAUGUUUCAACAAUCCCAAAAUACAUGAUAAAACUACUCAAUUCAAUAUCCUCAGUGAAAUCCAAAAUAAGAUGCAUGCAUGCUUUCAAUCUAGAGAUUGCACAACAGAUGUUAUACAUUAUGAAUGAUCAAUACACUAAGCAAAAUUGCACUCAUGAAAAUCAACAGUUCAUACCAAGUAAGUGUUUCACUCAAUCACUCAAGUGUUUAAGGUGACACUCCACUCUCUGUUAUUCACAAGUUACAUGAAACAAAAUUGUCAUUCAUCUCAAAUAAUUAACAUAUUUACAUAUAAAUGUCAUCAAAAGGACUUUUCCAAGGCUUGUCAUGAGGUUGGGCUAACAAGAAAAAUUGUUUUUUCUAGAGUGCAAAAUCCUUGAGUCAAGAGAGUUAUCAAAACAUUCAACAUUUAAGCACAACUCUCUCCCCAAUGUCUCUCAUUCCCAACUUCUUCCCUUUUCUUUUCUUUUUCAUUGAGCUCAUUUUCAUGCUUUUCUUCUUCUUUUUUCUUUUUCUCAUGAAUUUUUUUUUUCUUUUCACAUCAUUUGAGCUCAAUGCUUUUCAAUUGCUUUUUCAAUUUUCCCCCGUACAACCCCAAACUUGAACCUUUUCAUUACAUACAAUUAAGCUCCUCCCAACUCAAGGUAAAGAAUUUC